rnacentral:lncRNA from 1 species
GUGCCCCUGAAAUAUUUUAAUAUAAAGUUAAUUGAUUAUUACUUCAACUUAAUUCAUUAUAAAGACUUAUGAUCUUUAAAAAAAAGGUUAGGUGACAUAUGACCUUGAAAAAAACCAGGAAGUAGCUUUUUGGAACUUUUUUCAUGAAAAAGUACUCGGAAUCCAUAUAUUUUGUAAUACAUAUUCACAAACUUAUCACUACAGACCAGAAGUGACUUUCAAUAAAUCGGAAGUGAGCAUCCUCUUCUGUUUUACAGGCAAAAGUAAAAAUAAUCUUUAUAUUUUCGGGAUCAGUGUAAAAGAAGCUCUUAUAUGAGACCAGAAGUGACAUUUACUUCAUCUGAAGUAACAAAUUAUCUCCCUUAUUUCACUCG